rnacentral:rRNA from 1 species
AACUAACAAGGAUUCCCUAGUAACGGCGAGUGAAGCGGGAUGAGCUCAAAUUUAAAAUCUGAUGGUCUACGGCCGUCCGAGUUGUAAUCUAGAGAGGUGUUUUCCGUGCCGGACCGUGUACAAGUCCCUUGGAACAGGGCGUCAUAGAGGGUGAGAAUCCCGUCCAUGACACGGACUCCCGGUGCUCUGUGAUACACCUUCAAAGAGUCGAGUUGUUUGGGAAUGCAGCUCAAAAUGGGUGGUAAAUUCCAUCUAAAGCUAAAUACAGGCGAGAGACCGAUAGCGAACAAGUACCGUGAGGGAAAGAUGAAAAGAACUUUGGAAAGAGAGUUAAACAGUACGUGAAAUUGUUGAAAGGGAAACGCUUGGAGUCAGUCGCGUCUGCUGGGACUCAGCCUUGCUUCUGCUUGGUUUACUUCUCAGUAGAUGGGCCAGCAUCAAUUUUGGGUGCCGGAAAAUGGCGGGAGGAAUGUGGCAGCUUGCUGUGUUAUAGCCUCCCGUCGUACACGGUGUCUGGGAUUGAGGACUGCAGCACGCCUUCGGUAGGGCUUAGGCCACUCCACGUGCUUAGGAUGCUGGCG